UACGUAGGGUGCGAGCGUUAAUCGGAUUUACUGGGCGUAAAGCGUGCGCAGGCGGCCCGUUAAGACAGGUGUGAAAUCCCUGGGCUCAACCUAGGAAUUGCGCUUGUGACUGGCGGGCUCGAGUACGGUAGAGGGGGGUGGAAUUCCUGGUGUAGCAGUGAAAUGCGUAGAGAUCAGGAGGAACACCGAUGGCGAAGGCAGCCCCCUGGGCCUGUUACUGACGCUGAGAUGCGAAAGCGUGGGGAGCGAACGGG
rnacentral:rRNA from 1 species